UCAAAGAUUAAGCCAUGCAAGUGAAAGUAUAUGCAUAUUUUAUAUGUAGAAACUGCGAACGGCUCAUUAAAACAGUUAUAAUCUACUUGACAUUUUUUCUAUAAGGAUAACUACGGAAAAGCUGUAGCUAAUACUUGCUUUAGCACUCUUGAUUAAGUUCUUGAGUGUGUACUUGUUAAGCCUUUUAAGAAAAAAGUUAUUAACUUAAGGAAUUAUAACAAAGAAGCAACACGUAAAUGGAUUUUCCAUUUUUUAGUGUGUAUCAAUCGAGUUUCUGACCUAUCAGCUUUUGAUGUUAGGGUAUUGGCCUAACAUGGCUAUGACGGGUAACGGGGAAUUAGAGUUCGAUUCCGGAGAGGGAGCCUGAGAAAUAGCUACCACAUCUAAGGAAGGCAGCAGGCGCGUAAAUUACCCAAUUCUAAAGAAGAGAGGUAGUGACAAGAAAUAACAAUACAAGGCCAAUCUGGCUUUGUAAUUGGAAUGAUGGGAAUUUAAAACCUUCCCAAAACUCAAUUGGAGGGCAAGUCUGGUGCCAGCAGCCGCGGUAAUUCCAGCUCCAAUAGCGUAUAUUAAAAUUGUUGCAGUUAAAACGCUCGUAGUUGAAUUUCAAAGAAUCGAUAUUUUAAGUAGCACUUUGUAGAUUAAUCCACAUAACUGAUACUACGUAUCGACUUUGUGAGCAUUUUUCUACUUAUGUGUUCUUUUAAUUAAAAUGAUUCUUUUUAAGAUCUUUCUUUUUUGCUUCGGCAUUUUAGGAGAUCUUGUUACUUUGAGUAAAUUAGAGUGUUCAAAGCAAACAGAUUAUAGCAUCUUUAUGCGUUUGAAUACUAUAGCAUGGAAUAACAAAAUUGAACAAGUCAGAAUUUUGUUCUUUUUUCUUAUUUUGGCUUAGUUACGAUUAAUAGGAGUAGCUUGGGGGCAUUUGUAUUCAGAUGUCAGAGGUGAAAUUCUUAGAUUUUCUGGAGACAAACAACUGCGAAAGCAUUUGCCUAAAAUACUUCCAUUAAUCAAGAACGAAAGUUAAGGGAGUGAAGUCGAUCAGAUACCGUCGUAAUCUUAACCAUAAACUAUGCCGACUAGGCUUUGGAUGAAAGAUUUUAAAAUAAGAGUUUUUUCUCUGAGGAGUUAAAACUCUUAGAUUGCUUCCUUCAGUGCCUUAUGAGAAAUCAAAGUCUUUGGGUUCUGGGGCGAGUAUUCGCGCAAGCGAGAAAGUUAAAAGAAUUGACGGAAGGGCACCACCAGGCGUGGAGCUUGCGGCUUAAUUUGACUCAACACGGGAAAACUCACUAGUUUAAGACAAGAGUAGGAUUGACAGAUUAAUAGCUCUUUCUUGAUUUCUUGGAUGGUGAUGCAUGGCCGUUUUUAGUUCGUGAAUAUGAUUUGUCUGGUUAAUUCCGAUAACGAACGAGAUCUUAACCUGCUAAUUAGCGGCAAAUACGAUAUAUUCUUAUGUGGAAUUGAAUAUAGUUGAUUUGCUUAUUUUGAAGAAAAUAUUGGGAUACGUAAAUGUAUCCCUUUCCCUUUUCUACUUAAUUUGCUUAUCAUACUAUUUCUUUUUUGCGUAAGAAUGUAUCUGCUUGAUUGUAAAGCUUCUUAGAGGAACGAUGUGUGUCUAACACAAGGGAGUUUAAGGCAACAACAGG
rnacentral:rRNA from 1 species